AGGCCGCGAGUCGCCCGGCCAGCUCAGGGCCCCGCCCUCAGCCCCAGCUCACACCCCGGGGCUUCUGUUGCCUCCCAGGCCUCGGUCCGGGCGGGUCCUUCCUCCUCCGCCUGGAAGCCUGUCCGAAGUACUCAACCCAGGCCCUAGAUGGAACGCCUCCAUUCCCACUCCACACCCGGCAACCGGCUGCUCAACUGAGGCGCCUGGCUUUCUCCCUCCAGGAGGGAGCCAGGGAAGAACCUUAAGGAGGGGAGUCGUUUUCAGAUUUGCAUGUUAGAAAGAUCACUCUGGCUCCUGCGAUAAGCGGAGACAGCAGGGAGCUGAAAACUGGAGAUGAGGACUGAAGUCCCGAGGCUAUUGCAACGGUCCAGGUGAGACUUGAAGCCGGAACUGAAGGAAUGACGCCAAGGAUAGGAGUGGAUUGAGACACCUGGGAGGUGACUGGACUGGCGUGACCGCAUUGGCGGGUGAGGGGAUGGUGUCAGGGAUGACUCUCGGCUUGCCGGCUUGGACAGUGAAACUGGGAGAGUCAGGCUAGGUUUGGAGUGAAGGGGGUUCACUCACUCCGUUUUGGAUUUGCCUGAACUUAAGACGUCUGCAGGACAUGGCCCAGCAGAGGCGGAGGCUGGAGCCACAGACCUUGGAGUCUUGAGAACGCAGUGGAAACUGACACCAUCAGGGACAGGUCUCAGUAAUUAAUGGUCUUAAGGAAACAAAAGAAUGCAGGAACAAAUGACUGUUACCAGGCAAGAGAAGUAACAAUGGCAAAGAUAAUAACUGUUGGUAAAGAUUAGCCUGGAUUAUGCUCUUGAGGUGAUUUGCAGAAUUCAAGCCCCUCACCCUCACCCUGCCCCACUCCAGCAGUCAGUCACAAGAUCAGCUGGACUUAAGGAAUGAUGGUUUUGACCUUUCUUGAGCCUCGUGACUCCAAUCAACUAAAACUUGGACUCUGUCAACCUUUGCCCCAACUCUAGACUGAAUUCUUGUCUGCUCCACCCCCACAUGAAUAUGUAUGUACCCUUGGCUUAAAAAUUCCUCAAUUUUGCUUUUCCAGGAGACACUGCUUUAGGAAAUAUCCCCAGUGUUUUCUUACUUGCUGUAAUAAAUCCUUCCUUCUCCUGCUCUUUGA